CAGAGUUGCAAAACUCCUAAAACCCACUGUGAAUUUACCUGUUUUGUUGCUUUGGCAGGCAGCCCCAGGGCGGGGCUAUGGCCUAUUAUAGGUGCCUGCCAAGCAAACCAAAAAUCGCUAUAUUUUUAACAUCUGAGUAACAUUUAAAAAGUCA
rnacentral:misc_RNA from 1 species